rnacentral:rRNA from 1 species
GAUGAACGCUGGCGGCGUGCCUAAUACAUGCAAGUCGAGCGAACAGACGAGGAGCUUGCUCCUCUGACGUUAGCGGCGGACGGGUGAGUAACACGUGGAUAACCUACCUAUAAGACUGGGAUUACUUCGGGAAACCGGAGCUAAUACCGGAUAAUAUAUUGAACCGCAUGGUUCAAUAGUGAAAGACGGUUUUGCUGUCACUUAUAGAUGGAUCCGCGCCGCAUUAGCUAGUUGGUAAGGUAACGGCUUACCAAGGCAACGAUGCGUAGCCGACCUGAGAGGGUGAUCGGCCACACUGGAACUGAGACACGGUCCAGACUCCUACGGGAGGCAGCAGUAGGGAAUCUUCCGCAAUGGGCGAAAGCCUGACGGAGCAACGCCGCGUGAGUGAUGAAGGUCUUCGGAUCGUAAAACUCUGUUAUUAGGGAAGAACAAAUGUGUAAGUAACUAUGCACGUCUUGACGGUACCUAAUCAGAAAGCCACGGCUAACUACGUG